UACGUAGGGACCAAGCGUUGUCCGGAAUCAUUGGGCGUAAAGCGCGCGUAGGUGGCCAUUUAAGUCCGCUGUGAAAGUCAGAGGCUCAACCUUUGAAAGCCGGUGGAUACUGGAUGGCUAGAGUACGGAAGAGGCGAGUGGAAUUCCUGGUGUAGCGGUGGAAUGCGCAGAUAUCAGGAGGAACACCAAUGGCGAAGGCAGAUCUCUGGGCCGUAACUGACGCUGAGGAGCGAAAGCAUGGGGAGCGAACAGG
rnacentral:rRNA from 1 species